AAAAAGUGGAACUGAAAGUCGCUACGUUAUUGGUUAAAUUACAAAACUAUUGCUGCGAACCGUCGCAGAAAUGUAAUAUGAUGCUUCUGAGUUGCGUUUUAUGCGUCAUACCUACUUCAUACUCUAGCCACCGCAAAUCCGUGGCAAGCCUGAUUGCUCCUACUCCCCUGUUCGAACCUGGAAAAAGGAUCAUUAUAAAACUGUUGCCACGUGUUAAGAAGCAUUCGUCAUAUCAGCCAUUUUUCACUCCAGGAUGUAGAAGUACCCAAAGGAAUCAUUAAAGUGCAUUUUUUCACUAGAAACCAAGAAGGCUGUGUAUUGCUGAUGCUACAGGCAGCAUUUAUAACAAUGAACUGUUAAAUAACAGUAUCAAUUAAAAAUAAUUAUCCAACAAAUUGGAAAAUACUGAAACAGAUUGUCUGCAGUGGUAUCUCUCCCCAAUUUGGCUUACUAAUCACACUUGUAUACUUUAGAACGCUACAUUCUGCAGUUAAUUAAGAUUUUCCAACAAGUGAAAAAGAAUUAAAGGUCAGUUUGGUCAUGUUGAAACAACUGACGUUUACAUGGGUGACGUUUUCCUGGACUUUAUUGUUGAUUUGCUGUUUUCGUCUUCACCUUCCAACAUUAUGUAGUUAAUUCUCAACGGAUGAGUGAGAGCAACUGGAGAUUUAUUUGAACUCUACUAAAACAAUAAAUUUGAUUCUGCAGUUAAUUAAGGCAUGACAUAAUUAGUUUUAAUUGUUCUUUAUAGCAUAAAUUAACGUUAUCCUAAAUUUAUGGUAUCGUCCACAAAAUAAGUUAACGUUCUACAUCGGUGGCAUCUCUUUCCAAGCUGGCGUUUUCCUGCAUCUAUGGUAUCAAUUAAAAUUAAUCUAUUGUUCACACCAUAAAUCAAUGUUAUCGUGCAUCUAUUGGUAUUUGUUCUAACUAUUCUCUAUUGUUCGGAGCAUUAAGUGACGUUAUUGUGCACUUUGGUACUUUCUUUUUAACAAAUAUCUAUUGUCGACCGGAUAAAUUAUUGUUUCGGUGCAUCUAUGAUUACUUCACUUGUUCUAUUCUGUUCUCAGCCUUGUAGAAGGAGGUAGGGCCGCCCCGUACAAGUUCGCUUGGCCUUAGCUUUUUAGUUGAUCUUAAAAGUGGUUUCAUUUAAUUGUGUAGAAUACGUUUCUAUUUAGUGAUUAAGGGGUGUUGAUUAUUUUUGCGUAGAUUUAUUUUAGCGUAAACGAUUUGGUGCUUCAACAUAGGAGUUCAUCAUGGCAUCUUACGUGUCCGCCACCAUCUACUGUGAAUUUUUACAUUUUUGGUUUAUCUGAGGUGGAAUAAUUGGGCUUCUGGUAGAAUUUUUCAAUUUUGAAAACAGUUUCAAGCGAUGAUUGCAGAUUUUUCAUAUCGAUGGACCACGUCGUGAGGAUUACUUGUACUGAAAUGCUUGCUAAGAGAUAACAUCCUUGGAUUAGAUGGACAGACUACUUACAGAUGUAAUAUUGCAACAAUCAGACUUACUUAUAUUUCCAGAAAUGGUAAUGAACUAGUCGAAAAAUUCAUGGGGCACUGCUGUUAACAAUAGUUUCCAUUACAUCCUAAUAUCGUGAACAUAGAGAGGGUUAAUCAAAAGGAUUCGAAACGUGAGAGCUCCACUCACGCUUCUCUCUCUUGUGCUUGAAAAGAGGCCAUUUGUAGAAAGGGUUAUUAUUUAAACACAUGAAAUGAGAGGUGGAGCCCUUUUAAUGCUCUUUCCUUUUGGACCUAAACGGUGCAGUUGUUAGAAAAUACAUGAAGUCCAAUUGACACCAAUGUAUAUGUCUUCUGCUAUGUGGCUCAUUUCACAAUCAGUGGUUUUAUUUUUCCUUUCAUAAGCAUCUACUGUUAGAGGUACUUCUCUAUUAUCAUCGCUUAGGAAUAAAACUCUAGCACCAUACAGUAAUCCUCGAGAUCGUCCAACAGAUGAGAGAAAAUUGAGGUUCAGGUUGAUUGUAUUGAAGCAACCAAGAACUGAUGUCUUUUCUAGGCUGUAUUCUGGAUCUGCUGUUUUCGUCUUCACCUUGCAACAUUAUGCAGUUAAUUUUCAACAGAUAAGCAAGAACAAGAGGAGAUUUACUUGAAUUCCACUCAAAGAACAAGUUUUCUUCUUUGGCAUUCCUCCUGGAUUUGGUUUGCUUUUUACACCUGUAAAGUUUGGAAUGUUACAAUCUACAGUUAAUUAAGGUGAGAAUACUUGAUAUAAUUAAUUUUCAUUGCUCUUUAUUAAUUUAUU